ACGACCGCAAGGUUAAAACUCAAAUGAAUCGACGGGGGCCCGCACAAGCGGUGGAGCAUGUGGUUUAAUUCGAUGCAACGCGAAGAACCUUACCUACUCUUGACAUCCAGAGAACUUAGCAGAGAUGCUUUGGUGCCUUCGGGAACUCUGAGACAGGUGCUGCAUGGCUGUCGUCAGCUCGUGUUGUGAAAUGUUGGGUUAAGUCCCGCAACGAGCGCAACCCUUAUCCUUUGUUGCCAGCGGUUCGGCCGGGAAUUCAAAGGAGACUGCCAGUGAUAAACUGGAGGAAGGUGGGGAUGACGUCAAGUCAUCAUGGCCCUUACGAGUAGGGCUACACACGUGCUACAAUGGCGCAUACAAAGAGAAGCGACCUCGCGAGAGCAAGCGGACCUCAUAAAGUGCGUCGUAGUCCGGAUCGGAGUCUGCAACUCGACUCCGUGAAGUCGGAAUCGCUAGUAAUCGUAGAUCAGAAUGCUACGGUGAAUACGUUCCCGGGCCUUGUACACACCGCCCGUCACACCAUGGGAGUGGGUUGCAAAAGAAGUAGGUAGCUUAACCUUCGGGAGGGCGCUUACCACUUUGUGAUUCAUGACUGGGGUG
rnacentral:rRNA from 1 species